UGAGCAAUCUGCCCUUCUCAUCGGAAUAAGCGUUGGAAACGACGUCUAAUGCCGAAUACGACCUCCUUUCGCAUGAUCGGAGGUGGAAAGCUCCGGCGGAGAAGGAUGAGCUCGCGGCCUAUCAGCUAGUUGGUGAGGUAAUGGCCCACCAAGGCGACGACGGGUAGCCGGCCUGAGAGGGUGACCGGCCACACUGGGACUGAGACACGGCCCAGACCUCCGUACGGGAGCAG
rnacentral:rRNA from 1 species